GAAGCCAGUAUUAUAAUAAGCUGCAUCCAAAGGACCACCCAGAGUCACACCGUCCUUUGUAAGACAGUCACAGCAGGUGUCUUGGUUAUCCGUUUGCUGUAUAACAAGCCACCUCAAAACUUAGGGGCUUAAGACAACAGUGAUCACUUAUUUUGCUCAGGAUGCUGCCAUCUGGGCAGGGGUUGGUGGGGACAGCUGGCCUCUGCUCCCCAUCGCAUUAGCUGGGUUACUCAACUAGAGGUGGGAGGAUCACUUUCCAAGUGGCCCAUCUGGCUGGGGAGUUGGUGCUGGCUGUCAGCUAGGAGCCUGCUGGGUCCUCAGCUCCAUAUGUGUCUCUCUACCCACCAUUUGUACUUCCUCACAGCAUGGUGGCCGAGUCUCCAAACAGAAGGCAGAAGUGCAUGACUUUUUUACUACCUAGCCUCCAAAGCCACAUGGUGUCACUUUAGCUAUACUCCAUUGGUCGAGAUAGUCACAAAGAUCUGCCCUGGUUCAAGGAGGAGGGGGAGAGGGAAGGUUCUAGAAGAGCAUAUGGCAUGAGAGAUGCUGCUCCACCAUCUUCAGAAAAUGGCAAUGUCAAAGCAGGUGAUGGCAAUCCAGGGUCAGGUGAUGGCUAGACACCUAGGCAGGCAGCCAACCAAGGCGUCAGCACCCAACUGGGAUUUGGUGGCAGGACCUCGGCCCCUGAGUUGGGGGACAGCUGAUAAGAGCACAGCCAAGCCUGGGACUUUAUCAGCAGAUGGUGUAACAGAGUGGUCAAGAGCAGAUUCUCGAACCAGAUUCCCUGCAUUUGAAUCCUGGCUUCACCAAUUAGUAGUUUAAGAUCUGGGGCAAGGAGACUGACCCCUCUUGGCCUCGGUUUCCCCAUCUGUUAAAUGGGAUAACAAUAGAACAUACCUCACAGGUUUGUUGUGAGGAUUCAGCCAGUUAAUAGAGGUAAGAGCUUAGAACAGUGUCUGGCCCUCAGCAAAUGCUGUGUAAGGAUAAGCUAAUGUUGGUAAUAGACUCUUUUCACAGAAAAGCACCAGAAACCAAACAGGGAACAGAACUGCCAAAUGGUGUGUAUCAGAGCUCCGAAGAGAGGCAGACUUCCAGGAAUGAGAACUUCUGACUGUCGUGCUCAGGACAGUGGAUGCUUUGAGGGCUGCAGGUAUCGUUUUCCAAGCCACAUCCUGUACGGUGCUCCUUGGAAAGGGGCUUCCAAAGUCAGGCCAGCUGUAGGAGCCGGGUGUGCUGACCAGGGUCUCCCUUCUGUUGAUGGAGACACUGAGCUUCGAGACGGAACACACCCAAGAACAUACAACUAGAAAGUGGCAGCAUUGGAACUGGAGCCAGCUGCCACGGGGGGGACUCACUCAUACUUGUAUACAAGUAACAUGGGAGUACGUUCAGAUUGUAUGUGAAAUAAACAUGAAACUCUUUUCGGGCCCCAGAAGUCACCUCCCUCCAUAGCUGACUGCCCUUAUGUGUCAAGUUGUGUCCUUCACAUACACGCACACAGUUGUGUCCUUUUCACACACACACACACACACACACACACACACUUGCUAUUAUAAAAAUAUA